GCUGGGCAUGGUAGCGCAUGCCUAUAAUCCCAGAAGUUUGGGAGGCUGAGGCAGGAGGAUUGGGAGUUCAAAGCUGGUCGCAGCAACUUAGUGAGGCAUUUAGCAACUCAGUGAGACCCUGUCUCUA
rnacentral:sRNA from 1 species